rnacentral:rRNA from 1 species
CAAUAGCGUAUAUUAAAGUUGUUGACAGUUAAAAAGCUCGUAGUUGGAUUUCUGGUGGGAACGACCGGUCCGCCCCGAGAGGGGUGAGCACUGACGUCGCUUUCCGCCAUCCUUGGGGAGAGAGCGCCUGGCAUUCGUUUGUCGGGUGUUGGAUCCCCAUCGUUUACUGUGAGAAAAUUAGAGUGUUUAAAGCAGGCUUAUGCCGUUGAAUACAUUAGCAUGGAAUAAUAAGAUAGGACCGCGUGGUCGUCUUGUUGGUUUGCACCGCGAGGUAAUGAUUAAUAGGUACAGUUGGGGGUAUUCGUAUUUAAUUGUUCAGAGGUGAAAUUCUUGGAUUUAUGAAAGGACGAACUUCUGCGAAAG